rnacentral:lncRNA from 1 species
GGUGCGCCCCGGGCGCGCUCCCGCCGCAGCCCGGCGCGUUCCCGCGGCGCGAGGCAGCUCCCGGCCCGGCGGGGCACGAGGCGCGCUCCCGGCUCGGAAUUAGGGGGGGGGGCACGGGCCGGUCCUGCCCCCCCCCCCCCCCCCCCCCCGAGGGGGAGGUCGCUGCUGCCUGCGGGUGGGCGAGGGGCUGCGCCCGGGGGCUUCUCCCGGCGCGUUCGGUGGCACCGGCUGCGGGCAGCACAGCGAGGGGUGACCCCCUCCCCGACAGCACAGCGAGGAGUGAGCCCCCCCGGCUCAGUGCUGGACCCAUUUCUACCCCUGCACCCAACGCCCCGGGGAUGGGCACCCAGGGCAGCAGCAAGGAGCGAGGUUUCGGUUCCUCGUUGCAAAUGUUGCAAAUACCAAGUUGGUGCACAGAGCCCACAGGGUGCAGGCUCACAACACAGCCAGGGUUAAUGAAACCUCGCUGCGUGCCUCAGCCCCUUACCCUUCCUUCUCUUCAACUCGAAGGCAAGGACCUCUGGGCACUGAUCUUGGCGCUCCCUCAGCAGCUGGAUGCGAUCGUCCUCCCCCGAGCUUUCCGCAGGAGCAGACCUCUGGCUCCCCCAGCCCUCUCAUCCUCCUGCUGAGCGCUGGUGCAGACCCNNNNNNNNNNCCAUCCUCCUGCUGUUUGCCUCCUCUCUCAGGAAGCCGGCUGAGCGCUGGUGCAGACCCGCAGUGCAAUAUUCUGCAAGCCACUGGCUGCUCAAGGCCCUGUUGUUCUGCCCUUUCUCCUCUGGCUCACCAGCGGCUGUGCAAGCUCGCUAAAAUAGUAAUGAGCGCCAUCUGUUUGAGCAGCACAGCUCCAUUUAAUCAGGUGUGGCCGGACGGUCGUGUCCCCUCUCCUGAACCUGGGAGAGGUUACACAACACAGAUGCAGCAAUCAGGUCCUCACGGCCCUGCCAGAGUCACCGUAAGCACCUCUGAGCUUUUUCUGGCUCGAGUGAUUCGUUUGUGGUUUCCAGCAGCGAAGGUUGUGGCAAAGCUUCCCCAGUUACAUUGCCUGGGAAACAUCUGGAACACCCGCAGCCUGCUGGAAACCCAAACAAGGAGAGUGCCAAACAGCCAGUUCCAGAUCUGCAGAAAUCAUCUCUGCGAUGCAACAGAUGGUGCUCGGCCCGAGGAGAGCAGAGCAGAGCAGAAGGCUGCAGCAGCCCCCCCGGGUCACCCUCAGAGGCUCCUGGGGACCCUCGACCUGCAGGUGCCCAGACCAGGCUCACCCCCCCCCCUAAAGCUUUGCUCGCUCUCCCAGCCCUUCGCUCACCUGGUGCCAAAUACCCAAGGAGGCGCUGCCUGCGCAGGUGAUGCUCAGCACUCGUUUGGCUCCGAGGUGGGCUCCGAGCUGAGCCCAGCUCUGUACAGGGGUGAGCGCACCGAGCCCUGCUUCGGAUCAAAGGCCCGGAGGCACCUCGCUUCAGGAGCCUCCCCAGAGGUCUGGGGAAGAACACCGGGUGCCCGCACAGCCACGGCACGGAUGGGGCAAUGA